rnacentral:sRNA from 1 species
AACAGUGCAAGUCUGGCAUCCAAAACAGUGAUGUCUAACUGAUAUGAGCAGUUUGGUGUAAUGGUGCCAAAGCUGCCACAACUUAUACCUUGAAGCCCUUGCUGUUCCUUCUUCCUCUUGCCUUCUCAAAUUUCCUUCCCUUUGAGCGAACAUAUGGCUUAGUGUUGCUGUGGGGAACUCCUGGAGCAGGGCCAAAGUGCUUAACAGCUUCCCUAGCGUUCUUGGGACCCCUCAGGAGGACCGUGUUCUGGCCAAGCGGGGCGCGGAGAGCGAGCUGGUCGAACGUGAGGCACUCGCCACCGGCAUUGAUGAUCCGUGCUCUCGCGGUCUCGGUGAACCUGAGAGCAGCCACCUUCAUCGCCGGCACCUCAUAGAUCCUCUUGUCAUCUGUGACGGUGCCCACGAUCACGGCGAUCUGGUACCUUCCCCUCCAUGAACCUGACGAGACGGCGCAUCGAGAGCGGCGGGCGGUUGGUCUUGCUCAUGAAGAGCCGCUUCAGGAUCACGGCGUUGAAGUGGCUCUUGGUCCUCCGCACCAGGAAGCGGAGCUGACCUUGACGAUGAGCUUGAGGUAGACAUCCUCGGACCUGGGCGCCGUGCGCUUGGUCUUCUUGUUCCGGCCGCCGGCGACGAGGUCGAUACCCUGCGGGCGA